GAGCAGACACAUUCCAGCCAAUCAGCAGCAGACCCUCCUUCCCAGACCCUCCCACCUCCUGGACAGCUGCAUUCUUAGUGAGCUGUCCAGGAGCUGGGAGGGACUGGGAGGGAGGGUCUGCUGCUGAUUGGCUGGAAUGUGUCUGCUG